GACGGAGAACGCAAGCGUUAUCCGGAAUUAUUGGGCGUAAAGCGUACGUAGGCGGCUUAUCAAGUCUGGGGUCAAAGACCACAGCUUAACUGUGGAAAGGCCUUGGAAACUGGUGAGCUGGAGUGAGGUAGGGGUUGCGGGAAUUCCCGGUGUAGUGGUGAAAUGCGUAGAUAUCGGGAAGAACACCUGAGGCGAAAGCGCGCGACUGGGCCUUAACUGACGCUGAGGUAAGAAAGCUAGGGGAGCGAAUGGG
rnacentral:rRNA from 1 species